GACAGAGGGUGCAACCGUUGCUCGGAAUCACUGGGCGUAAAGGGCGUGUAGGCGGGAAGGAAAGUCAGAUGUGAAAUCCCCAGGCUCAACCUGGGAACUGCAUUUGAAACUCCCUUUCUUGAGUACCGGAGAGGAAAGUGGAAUUCCUGGUGUAGAGGUGAAAUUCGUAGAUAUCAGGAGGAACACCGGUGGCGAAGGCGGUCAACUGGCCCAUAACUGACGCUCAGGCACGAAAGCGUGGGUAGCGAACAGG
rnacentral:rRNA from 1 species